GGAUAUGAGGGUAGUAUGGUUUAGACUGUCCCUGCGCUGAUUGUCAGGGCUGACUUGGCUGACCCAGCUGUCUGGACUGGCAUUCCCUUUCUCCCUUUCUGCUCCAUGCACGUCUCUCCCAACACUGUGUGUCCAUCAAAGAGGACAAAGGUGAUGACCACCCCUAACAGAGGAGGACUUUCCCUAUCAAGGGUAUGCAACUACCUGCAUGCCCCUGCUAGAACCUUCACAACAGCUCCCCAGAACAGAAGCCUAUGUUUUUCAUGGGAACAGAAAAGGAGUGCUCUUGGAUAUGGGUGUCCUAAGGGAGCUCAAUCU
rnacentral:snRNA from 1 species